rnacentral:rRNA from 1 species
GAUGAACGCUGGCGGCGUGCUUAACACAUGCAAGUCGAACGAAGCACUUUAUUUGAUUUCCUUCGGGACUGAUUAUUUUGUGACUGAGUGGCGGACGGGUGAGUAACGCGUGGGUAACCUGCCUUGUACAGGGGGAUAACAGUUGGAAACGGCUGCUAAUACCGCAUAAGCGCACAGCAUCGCAUGAUGCAGUGUGAAAAACUCCGGUGGGAUAAGAUGGACCCGCGUUGGAUUAGCUAGUCGGUGAGGUAACGGCCCACCAAGGCGACGAUCCAUAGACGAGAUGAGAGGGUGACCCGCCACAUUGGGACUGAGACACAGUCCAAACUCCUACGGGAGGGAGGAGUGGGGAAUAUUGCACAAUGGGCGAAAGGCUGAAGGAGCGACGCCGCGUGAGCGAAGAAGUAUUGAGGGAUGUAAAGCUCUAUAAGCAGGGAAGAUAAUGACGGUACCUGACGAAGAAGCACCGGCUAAAUACGUG